rnacentral:tRNA from 1 species
UCCCCAGUAGUGUAAUGGCAGCACAACAGAUUCUGGCUCUGUUAAUCUUGGUUCGACUCCAGGCUGGGGAU